rnacentral:rRNA from 1 species
GACGAACGCUGGCGGCGUGCUUAACACAUGCAAGUCGAACGGUGAACGAGGGAGCUUGCUCCCUCCGGAUCAGUGGCGAACGGGUGAGUAACACGUGAGCAAUCUGCCCCGAACUCUGGGAUAAGCGUUGGAAACGACGUCUAAUACCGGAUACGACGCGGGAGGGCAUCCUCUCCGCGUGGAAAGAACUUCGGUUCGGGAUGAGCUCGCGGCCUAUCAGCCUGUUGGUGAGGUAACGGCUCACCAAGGCGACGACGGGUAGCCGGCCUGAGAGGGUGACCGGCCACACUGGGACUGGGACACGGCCCAGACUCCUACGGGAGGCAGCAGUGGGGAAUAUUGCACAAUGGGCGCAAGCCUGAUGCAGCAACGCCGCGUGAGGGACGACGGCCUUCGGGUUGUAAACCUCUUUUAGCAGGGAAGAAGCGAAAGUGACGGUACCUGCAGAAAAAGCACCGGCUAACUACGUG